rnacentral:tRNA from 1 species
AAAGGGAGACCUAAUUCAGGUAAAAGACGAAAAAAAAGUAGUCGCUACCAAGAAUCAACCCCAAAAGGUCGGAGCGAGGCGAAAUUGGCUUUCAAACUAGGUUCUGGGUUCAAACAAGACCUGAAUCAGGAACAAGGGCUAUUAGCUCAGGUGGUUAGAGCGCACCCCUGAUAAGGGUGAGGUCCCUGGUUCGAGUCCAGGAUGGCCCACCUGCACAGGUGGCAAAAACAAGAGAAGCGAGGAAACAGCACCUUAUCUUACUUAUAUAGUAAGAGAGAAUGCUGGCUCUGAGUAAAGAGUCCAGAGGAACCUUGAAAACUGCAUAGAGCUAGGUGAAAAAGCCAAAAAAGAAGACCGCAAG